GACGAACGCUGGCGGCGUGCUUAACACAUGCAAGUCGAGCGGUAAAGGCCCUUCGGGGUACACGAGCGGCGAACGGGUGAGUAACACGUGGGUGACCUGCCUCUAGCUCUGGGAUAAGCCUGGGAAACUAGGGUCUAAUACCGGAUAUGACUCCACGGCGCAUGUUGUGGGGUGGAAAGCCUUGUGUGGCUAGAGAUGGGCCCGCGGCCUAUCAGCUUGUUGGUGGGGUGAUGGCCUACCAAGGCGACGACGGGUAGCCGGCCUGAGAGGGCGACCGGCCACACUGGGACUGAGACACGGCCCAGACUCCUACGGGAGGCAGCAGUGGGGAAUCUUGCGCAAUGGGCGAAAGCCUGACGCAGCGACGCCGCGUGAGGGAUGACGGCCU
rnacentral:rRNA from 1 species